UGAUAACUCCUGGUACAAUCAUUAAGACCCUCAUCUAUAGUGGACUGGAAUAAAGCACAGGUGACUGUAACACAGAUUGAUGAAAGAUUCUGCAGGACGGCAAAGGUUAAAGAUGCAGACCCAGAGCUAGAAGCCAGCACUGACACUGACGGAGUAGACUGCGAAGAGAAUGCCCACAUUAUUGUCCAUCCUCUGAUAACCAAUAUAAUAUGAAAACCGACUAUAGAAGAAAGGAACAAAUUAAAUCCAUUAAUCAAGCAUAUCUCUGCUAAA